UGACCUCGGAUCAGGUAGGGAUACCCGCUGAACUUAAG
rnacentral:rRNA from 12 species